rnacentral:rRNA from 1 species
UACGAAGGGGGCUAGCGUUGCUCGGAAUCACUGGGCGUAAAGCGCACGUAGGCGGCUUUCUAAGUCAGGGGUGAAAUCCUGGAGCUCAACUCCAGAACUGCCUUUGAUACUGGAGAGCUCGAGUCCGGAAGAGGUGAGUGGAACUGCGAGUGUAGAGGUGAAAUUCGUAGAUAUUCGCAAGAACACCAGUGGCGAAGGCGGCUCACUGGUCCGGUACUGACGCUGAGGUGCGAAAGCGUGGGGAGCGAACAGG